UUACUUUGUUUAUUUUUUUUAUCCAAGAAGGGGGCACGCGUUACUGUUUGAGUUUAAUAUGUUGUCUAUACCUGAGCGAGAGUGACAGUAUCAAGCAAGAGGAGCAAGAGUGAAAGAAAGGAUAGGGUGAACACAAAGUUGAAUGUGAGGAGGGAUGAACGCGAUUGGAUUGUAAAUCGUCCAUUUCCCUUAUCACCACUGACAUGAAGAGUAAUAUAUUCAAUUCGAACGAUAUAACAACGGUUUCGCAUCCCCACAACAAAGGGCCGAAAAAGUAAGACCACGACUGAGAUUUUGAGAACGACCUAGGUUUCAAGGUUUGGUUUUUUCCCCUUGCUUCUGUUUUCCUACUUGGGCUUUGUGCCACUUUUUUCGCUACUCCCGAAGACUUUUUGGAUUCCGAAGAACCAACGAAGAUAUUGACUCCUGUGGAACACCGCGCCAAUCUGUCCGCCAGCAACCGGACCGAGCUGGACUGCUAGCCAGAUUUACCCAUCGCCUACUGAAAAAUCGUUUCUGCAGGUCUGAGGGGUUGGAGACUGGGCCUCGUACCGCACCCAACAGCCAACUGGAUCCUUCCACAGGGUGAAGCAAAAGGAGAACAAGAGAAGUUGGAGUAUUGUAGGGUCGUCACGGACGGUCCCACGCUGAUAUGAAGUAUUGUGAAGUAUUAUUUACGCGUCCUUGCGGCGUCAGUGUUUGUACCUGAAACACCCAAUGAAUGUUGUUUGUGUAAAAA